AGACUUGUUUUUUUCGCCAAUUUGGCCAUUCGGUGGUGCACGCUAUCUUACACUCCGUAUGGGUUUCAUCAUGAACCACAACCUUGCGCCAAAAUAUGAUUUCCACAGCUAUAUGAUUCGCUCUAUGGAAGAGGAGUUCAAAAUGAUUGUUGGUGUGAGGUGAGCUACAAAUGUCUUAAGAUUUCUUUUUUACUUUUUGAAAAAUGACUAAAAUCAUUAAAGCUCCAAAAAACAAUACAAGGCACCAAGAAGCGAUGUUGUCAUUAAAGCUCCAAAAAACAAUACAAGGCACCAAGAAGAGAUGUUGUCAUUAAUGUUCCAAAAAACAAUACAAGGCACCUUCUAGGUUGAAGAAUCAUAACACAUCAUCCCACAUAUAUACCUCGUGUCUGACUGCAGCUAUCUAUAGGCAAGUUUCCUGUACAUAUAGCCCGCUCGAGCAUUUCUCCAUUUGUUUUCUUUUGUAGCCAUUUGUAGUUUAGUGUAUGGGGUUCCAAAGUUGUAUGUUCCAAGACCAUGAAUACAUUCAACUCUCCUUCAAUGAUUGAGCUUCUGUAAUGGAUACCAUAAAAUGGGUAGAUGCAAUAUUUUCACUGUAUUAUGGAUCUCACAUGGUAAAGCUAUUUUCCAUAAUACAUUCUUUUUGCUAUUUUGUUUUGCAGGUUUUAGGCAGGGAUGAAUGGGAGCUAGAUAAAUGGAUUUUUUUUUUGUAUGUGAAACUAUUCAAUUUAUUAUUGUAAAUAUUAUUUUAAUAUGGGACCAGUGGUGACACGUGGCUAAUCCAGUGUGUUGCGUAUUCUCAUCACUACCGCACCGGGGCCUACACUGGUGAUAGAAGAUCAGGUGGAUCGGGGACGUUCACCAUAAUAUGAGCUGGUGUGAAUGUUAUUUAGUCAUUGCGAUGCCUCACUAAGCCUUUGUUC